AUCUUGGGAAAUUUCAUCGUGAUGGGGAUAGAUCAUUGCAAUUGUUGGUCUUCAACGAGGAAUGCCUAGUAAGCGCGAGUCAUCAGCUCGCGUUGACUACGUCCCUGCCCUUUGUACACACCGCCCGUCGCUCCUACCGAUUGAAUGGUCCGGUGAAGUGUUCGGAUCGCGGCGACGGGGGCGGUUCGCCGCCCCCGACAUCGCGAGAAGUCCAUUGAACCUUAUCAUUUAGAGGAAGGAGAAGUCGUAACAAGGUUUCCGUAGGUGAACCUGCGGAAGGAUCAUUG
rnacentral:rRNA from 5 species